rnacentral:lncRNA from 1 species
CUCUGCCCACCAUCUUUAAUGAGGAGCGACCAGUUAGGAAGAUGCACCUCCAGGUUUGGCUGUGGUCACCAAAACACCUCUGUCCUUGCUGUUGCUGGAUGAUGGACAAACUCCAAAGAGAGUGGCAAAGAAAAGCCAUUGACUGGCUUGGACCAAACGUUGAGUAGAGUUGGCUUUCCAAUUCAGACAGAGGACUCAAAAGCUGGCUAAUUGAGCAGCUCCAGGCUGGAACACGGCGGAGACUUUCCAAAGGGGAGGCAGGCCAGGGAGCACCCCUUCCUCCUGAUUUGCCAAGGGGGAAAGAAAAAGCAAAAAGUAUUUUCUCAACUUCUUUAUCCCUCAUAUAUAUAAAUCCUACAACUGUGGCUGUAUGAGUUAUUUCCCUUCUCUGUUUUCCUCAUGAAAAACAAAAAAGUGCAGUUUCUCUGGUUUUUCGUGAGAACUUGCUGGAGGAUUAAUG